rnacentral:rRNA from 1 species
AUUGAACGCUGGCGGCAUGCUUUACACAUGCAAGUCGAACGGUAACAGGCCUUCGGGUGCUGACGAGUGGCGAACGGGUGAGUAAUGCAUCGGAACGUACCCAGAGGUGGGGGAUAACGCAGCGAAAGCUGUGCUAAUACCGCAUGUGAUCUGAGGAUGAAAGCGGGGGACCGAGCAGCAAUGUUUGGCCUCGCGCCUUUGGAGCGGCCGAUGUCGGAUUAGCUAGUUGGUGGGGUAAAGGCCUACCAAGGCGACGAUCCGUAGCUGGUCUGAGAGGACGACCAGCCACACUGGGACUGAGACGCGGCCCAGACUCCUACGGGAGGCAGCAGUGGGGAAUUUUGGACAAUGGGCGCAAGCCUGAUCCAGCAAUACCGCGUGCGGGAAGAAGGCCUUCGGGUUGUAAACCGCUUUUGGCAGGAACGAAACGGUGUCCGCUAAUACCGGGCGCUAAUGACGGUACCUGCAGAAUAAGCACCGGCUAACUACGU